GUGCAGAUAAAAGGAAGGUGACCGAGAGAAAGAACUUAGGGCAAUCUGGAAGACAGUGUAUCCACUGACUGAAAGUCCAAGGAACAGAAUGAAGAAAAUAAAAUCAAGCUAUACCAAGAAGAUACAUGAAGCACAAAUACAGAUAAUCUUGAGAAUAAGCAAUGUUCCAUGUAUUGUAAUGACAUGAGUGAGAAUACUUAAGAUGCAAUGAGGGGGCUGACUAUUUUGCAGGUUCUACUAUGAUGAAUAGUCAUGAAGAAGCUGUGACCUGGGUUCUUGAAGGUUCUGUCAAUGGAACACAAACUCCAGUGGGAAUUUCCAGGCCAAAAUGCUUUGAAUAAGAGUUUUCUGAUUCUCUGUCCAUUAUUCCAUCCUUUAUAACAGAUUUUCAUUUACGUGGCUGUUUCAAAAUAUAGACAUAUCUAAAAAUAAAUUAAAGAUAGCUAGCUGAACUGGAAUCAUGUUCACAGAAUAGCAAUGUAGAGAAACAAGA